GGAUAAUUGUCUAUUGAAGUCCUUUUCCCAUUUGUUAACCAGAUCAUCUUGGUUUUUUUUGUUAUUGAGUGGUAAGAGUUCCUUUAUAUUCUGGAUAUUAACCCCUUAUUAGAUAUGUGGUUUGCAGAUAUGUUCUCCCUUUCUGUGUGUUGUUCCUUUUUACUCUGUCAUUUGGUUCCUGCGUUGUGCAAGCAUUUUCAAGUUUGAUGGAAUUAAUGUAUUUGUCUGAUUUUGCUUUUGUUGCCUGUGCUUUUGGUGUCAUAUCCUAGAAGUCCUUGCAAAAUCCAGUGUCGGGAAGCUUUUCCCCUAAGUUUUCUUCUAGGAGUUUUCUAGUUUCAAGCCUAUACAUUUAGGUCUUUAAUCUAAUGUUAGCUCUUUCUUAAUGGGUUCUUUGUAUUUUGGGCAGGGAAUAAGUCUUUUUUUAAUAUAACUGUGGCAGGAAUUUACUAUAUAUACCUUUUUUUCUUCUUCCUUCCUCCCCUCUUUCCCUCCCUCCUUCCCUCCCUCCUUCAUUCCCUUCUUCCCUCUCUCACGGCUUGAAGAUAAUGGAAUCACUCACUUUUUGUUCAUAAUUGGUAAGAUUUUAGUUAGUAGAAUGAUGAUUCAUUUUCAACAACACUUUGUUGUUUGUUCAUUGGUUAGCAGGAAGAAGAUGAGCCCGAAGUCCGAACGCGGCGGAAUUCAUGUGGAUGCUGUGCAAGAAAGGAUGUGGUUACUACGGCAACCCAGCCUGGCAGGGUUUCUGCUCCAAGCACUGGAGGGAAGAGUACCACAAGGCCAGGCUGUAGGAGAUGCAGGAGGACUGGGAGCUGGCAGAGCGACUCCAGCGGGAGGAAGAAGAGGCCUUUGCCAGCAGUCAGAGCAGCCAAGGGGCCCAAUCCCUCACAUUCUCCAAGUUUGAAGAAAAGAAAACCAAUGAGAAGACCCGCAAGGUUACCACAGUGAAGAAAUUCUUCAGUGCGUCUUCCAGGGUCGGAUCAAAGAAGGGCUGGAGUGCAAUGGCACGAUC